GUGAUUCUCCUGAGUUAGCCUCGUGAGUAGCUGGAGUUACAGGCUGCUGAAAAUAUGACAAGCUGACUUUCUGGAGAAAUUCUGAUGAGAUAUGUCAAGCUCUGCAGGAGGAUUUGAAGAUUGCUUUGUAGUCAAGAAUGUACAAUGAAAUUACUGCAUGCAUCAGUGUAGAAAAAUUUUCCUUUUUAUAAGAAUUAUAAAACCAUAGCUUUAUAAAUCAGUGGAAAGUGGCUUACAGAGAGAACUAUCAGAUGUGUUUACAUCACAUCUUACUCACUUUUUUUUAACAGCUAUAAUGCUUUGGCAUUGUUAUGUUCAUAUUUAUGUAUUCCUUAUUUAUAGCUCUGAUAGCUUUAAUUUUCUAAGCAGUCUGUCUAUCAGAUGUGCACAUCUGCUGUGCCUGGUUGAAGUAUAGUGGAACCCAUCAGUAGUGAUGUGUGGUAGUUAUGACUUGUUGACAUUUCCAUUAUAAACUUUAAUUUUGAAUUGUUUAUGCAUAAAAACUGUGAUUUAUGUUGUAUUGGGCUGAAAGUUGACAGGAUUUCCACUACCAUUUGUGAAUUUUGAUUUAAGUUCAUUAUUAUAUCAGAAUCUUGUUUUUUAAAAAAUAAGAGCAUGGAAAACAUUUCUAGUAAUCUGCUCUUUAACAAAGAAUAUUUAGUUUUUUAAACAGUUUGUUGGGCAGUUAAUGUGAACCAGAUAAUUUUUGUAUUGAUUGAAAAAUAAAACUUUUAGAAACUUAGAUUUUAAAGGAAAUGACAGUGUUUAGCCUAGCAUUACUUAUAGUUUGAAUCAUUUAAAUCUAAUGAAAAUGUUAGUUGAGAAUUUUUUUAAGUUUUUAUACCCUAUAAAUGAAGACCUAAAAAAUAAUGUAUAAAAUGAAACAUAGCCAACAUGCAAAAUUCCUGUUUACUUUUAUUACAUAAAAGUAAUUUAAGUGCUUACCUGACAAAUCUUGAGUGGUUAUUUAAUAAAUCACUAGAUAGGAGGUAUGUUUCAACAGAUAUUUAGUAUUUUCUGAUGAAAUAAGGAUUUCUAGUCAUUAAACAAAAACUAAUCUAAUGUUCUGUAUCAGGAAUUAUAAGUAUGGCUUUUUAAAAUCAGUUUAUGUGUCCUUUUUUUUACCCUUAAAGCUAUAACUCAUCAAAGUGAUGAUAUAAAAUAAAAUUUUAAUAUAUUGAUUCUGUUCCUAUAACAGAAUCUCAGUGAAAUUUUUUUGGCAAGACUUCAGGAUUUAAUAUGAUUUUAUUGUUUCUUAAAUUUUAGAUUUUGUUAGAUACCAUUUAAAUGAUAAUACAAGCAUUUGCUCUUUAGUAGCAUUUUUUGUUUUUCAGACAAACUGAAAUGGUUUUAAUAAGACUUAGUGAUAUUGGUGUAGAACCUUCUGUGCUAUUUUUAAAAUGUAGGACUUUGACCAUUUUGACUUUUUAAAUGAAUGACAUUUUUGCCAAGUGCACUGCAAGGUCUAUUAUUGGCAGAACAGGUUUGGAGACACCAAGAACUUAUGAUAAGUCAUUUGAUAAUAAACACUGCAAAUACAGCAUGUUGUUAUUUAUAAAAUGUUAAAGAGAACACUUUUGUUAACCUUCAAAAUUUGUAUAUGCUUUUAGGCCAUAAGAGUUGAUAGUUUUAUUUAUGAGUUUGUAGAUUAAGUUAUUUAUCUAUGAAACAAAACAGGAAAAUAUAUUAAGAAGGGAUUAUGUUUACAGAAGAUGUUUCUUUAAUGUGUCACAUUUCUUAAAUGUAAACAUAUUUUUAAUGCAUACUUAAGUAAUAUUUAAGAAACCAAACAAAAUAAUGAUACAAUUGCAGUGUUGUGCUUGUUGUCAGUGACAAUAAUAAAACCAUUUUGGUGGUAUUGGCAUGUA